rnacentral:rRNA from 1 species
UACGAAGGGGGCUAGCGUUGUUCGGAAUUACUGGGCGUAAAGGGCGCGUAGGCGGAUAUUUAAGUCGGGGGUGAAAGCCCGGGGCUCAACCUCGGAAUUGCCUUCGAUACUGGAUAUCUUGAGUUCGGGAGAGGUGAGUGGAAUGCCGAGUGUAGAGGUGAAAUUCGUAGAUAUUCGGCGGAACACCAGUGGCGAAGGCGACUCACUGGCCCGAUACUGACGCUGAGGCGCGAAAGCGUGGGGAGCAAACAGG